rnacentral:rRNA from 1 species
GGACUCGCACAAGCGGUGGAGCAUGCGGUUUAAUUCGAUGCAACGCGAAGAACCUUACCAGGUCUUGACAUCCCGGCGACCGGACUAGAAAUAGUCCUUUCCUUCGGGACGACGGAGACAGGUGGUGCAUGGUUGUCGUCAGCUCGUGUCGUGAGAUGUUGGGUUAAGUCCCGCAACGAGCGCAACCCUUAUCAUUAGUUGCUAACAUUAAGUUGAGGACUCUAAUGAGACCGCCGGUGACAAACCGGAUGAAGGUGAGGAUGACGUCAAAUCAUCAUGCCCCUUACGAUCUGGGCUACACGCGUGCUACAAUGGCCGGUACAAUGAGUCGCGAAGCCGCGAGGCGGAGCUAAUCUCAAAAAGCCGGUCUCAGUCCGGAUUGUAGUCUGCAACUCGACUACAUGAAGUCGGAAUCGCUAGUAAUCGCGAAUCAGAAUGUCGCGGUGAAUACGUUCUCGAGUCUU